UUGGGAAAUAUUGCCGACGCAUAAGGCACCUCUCGCAAGGAGCCAAAUCCCUAAUUCCCCUUUCCCAUUCCCCACGCGCGCCGCCCUGGGCUCUCCGCCGCCGCCGCGCCAUUGUGCUGCUCCCGCGCGACCCUGCUGGACUGCCGCCCCACACCGCCUGCCCCCAUGCGCUCGACCCCUCUCCUCUGCCCCGGUGCUCUCCCCUGACCACAAGAACUUUGGCGUCGUCACCGUCAUGGAAUGCGGCCGGCAGAUCCCGGGGAGACAGGAUUCAACCUGCUGUAGAGGGAUGUUGCCCUGUACUAGAAGAAUGCGCCGGCCGUGGUGAAACACUCCCUAGAGGCGCUGCUGCUCGUGGUGUCCAACCCCGUUGACGUCCUCGCCGGCCUCGCCUUCAAGAUUUCAGAGUUGGGUUCCAGGCGAGCGGCGUCAUCUGCUCCGGUACCGACCUCGACGCCUCCUGGUUCUGGUUCCUCAUCAACGACCCCCGCCAUCAACGCACAGGACGUGCAGGAUUCCCAGCCCACCCCAGCAUCCCCUUCAACCCCGAACCAGUUUACUGUUGCGUCUUUGCAAUCUUACAGGUCGCCACAGUCCGUGCAACAGCUAGCAGCAGGGCCCAUUGUCAUCGUCGCGCAUCCCAGGUUCAUCUGCUUGCUGCUGUUUCGGCCAUCGCUGAAGCACCAAAGUAUAAUAAUCUUUCUUCUUCAUAGGUUGGUCGGGCAAUCUGGUGCUUAUCUGCUGGGAUUUUGAAUUGAAUAUGUGUGGAAUUUCUGGUAGCUAUGUGGAUCUAUUGGCUCCGAAAACUGAUACCCCAGUGUCUACAAUUUGUUGCCAUGUAGGCUCAAGCGUCUCUCCUUCAUCAGGUAAAAUGUCAACCUGAAAAUCGUCUAGGCAGCAGGGUACAUCCCCAAGAGGCCCAAUUGCAGAUGUUCAAGCUGGAGGAUGUUCUGCAAUGAGAUGUGGAAUGAAGGCUUUGAUGUCAAGUAUGAGAACGAUGCAAGGAUAUUGGUGGAAGGCUGUGAGGAUGGGUAUGUAGUUGCCCACUACAAGGAGCCAAGGCGGAUGAUGUGCCUCUUAGAAAAAUUCCAGUAAACAACACUAGAAAUUUUUGCUCUCAGACAAUGAACCAUAAUGUCUCCUCUAUGUCAUUAGGUAGAUUAGUUUAUAGGACACUUGGAUGGUCAUUGGUUCAUAACAUAUGCACUAUUUAUAUGUGAAAAUUAAUGGAGGUGUGUUAUUAUUGUUUGGUUCUAAUAUAUUAUUCUUGGCCGA